rnacentral:rRNA from 1 species
AUGGCCUCGCUCCUUAUGUUGGUCUUCUGGGAGCUAUGGAAGGAGAGGAACGCUAGGGUUUUUAGAAAUACUUCUACGCCUUCGAUGAUUAUCAUGGACAAGAUCCUUGAUGAGGCAAGCCUAUGGGUUUCUAUGGGGGCCAAGGGUUUAGAUGUGAUUCUGCCUCGUGAGUAG